rnacentral:rRNA from 1 species
AUUGAACGCUGGCGGCAGGCUUAACACAUGCAAGUCGAGCGGAGAGAGGUAGCUUGCUACUGAUCUUAGCGGCGGACGGGUGAGUAAUGCUUAGGAAUCUGCCUAUUAGUGGGGGACAACAUUUCGAAAGGAAUGCUAAUACCGCAUACGUCCUACGGGAGAAAGCAGGGGCUCUUCGGACCUUGCGCUAAUAGAUGAGCCUAAGUCGGAUUAGCUAGUUGGUGGGGUAAAGGCCUACCAAGGCGACGAUCUGUAGCGGGUCUGAGAGGAUGAUCCGCCACACUGGGACUGAGACACGGCCCAGACUCCUACGGGAGGCAGCAGUGGGGAAUAUUGGACAAUGGGCGGAAGCCUGAUCCAGCCAUGCCGCGUGUGUGAAGAAGGCCUUAUGGUUGUAAAGCACUUUAAGCGAGGAGGAGGCUACUUUAGUUAAUACCUAGAGAUAGUGGACGUUACUCGCAGAAUAAGCACCGGCUAACUCUGUGCCAGCCGCCGCGGUAAAAC